UAUCUACUGGUAUCGACAAGGAGACUUAGAACCGAAAUUUAGAAAUCUAAUUUACUAUAUCUUAUUUUCUAUCACCAUGUUAUGUAUAUGUGCGAACCUGUACUUCCAUGAUGUGGGAAAGUGAGGCUGCCAAGGAGAAAAUACUUACCAGGUCUCUUCAAAGCUAUACAUUAGGACUGUGAAUAAAAGCUGGAUAAGGCAACCAACUCUUGCUUAAAACUACAAUUUGUUUUCACAUUAACAAAACAGAGACGGUGAAAAGACAAUUUGAUUGUGAAGAUCUAAUUACAAUAAUAAAUAAAAUAAUUUAUACAAAAAAAAA